rnacentral:misc_RNA from 1 species
GAUGAAGAACGCAGCGAAAUGCGAUAAGUAAUGUGAAUUGCAGAAUUCAGUGAAUCAUCGAAUCUUUGAACGCACAUUGCGCCCCCUGGUAUUUCGGGGGGCAUGCCUGUCCGAGCGUCAUUACAACCCUCAAGCUCAGCUUGGUGUUGGGCCCCGCCGCCCCGGCGGGCCCUAAAGUCAGUGGCGGUGCCGUCCGGCUCCGAGCGUAGUAAUUCUUCUCGCUCUGGAGGUCCGGUCGUGUGCUCGCCAGCAACCCCCAAUUUUUUUCAGGUUGACCUCGGAUCAGGUAGGGAUACCCGCUGAACUUAAGCAUAUCAAUAAGCGGAGGA